UACGGAGGGUGCUAGCGUUGUUCGGAAUUACUGGGCGUAAAGCGCGUGCAGGCGGUUGGGCAAGUCAGAUGUGAAAGCCUUCCGCUUAACGGAAGAAGUGCAUUUGAAACUACCCGGCUGGAGUUCGGGAGAGGAGAGUGGAAUUCCUGGUGUAGAGGUGAAAUUCGUAGAUAUCAGGAGGAACACCGGUGGCGAAGGCGGCUCUCUGGCCCGAUACUGACGCUGAGACGCGAAAGCGUGGGGAGCAAAC
rnacentral:rRNA from 1 species